AUUGAACGCUGGCGGCAGGCCUAACACAUGCAAGUCGAGCGGGGUUUUCGGACCUAGCGGCGGACGGGUGAGUAAUGCGUAGGAAGCUACCCGAUAGAGGGGGAUACCAGUUGGAAACGACUGUUAAUACCGCAUAAUGUCUACGGACCAAAGUGUGGGACCUUCGGGCCACAUGCUAUCGGAUGCGCCUACGUGGGAUUAGCUAGUUGGUGGGGUAAUGGCUCACCAAGGCGACGAUCCCUAGCUGGUUUGAGAGGAUGAUCAGCCACACUGGAACUGAGACACGGUCCAACCUCCUACGGGAGGCAGCAGUGGGGAAUAUUGGACAAUGGGCGCAAGCCUGAUCCAGCCAUGCCGCGUGUGUGAAGAAGGCCUUCUGGUUGUAAAGCACUUUCAGUAGGGAGGAAGGGUGUUGUGUUAAUAGCACAGCAUUUUGACGUUACCUACAGAAGAAGCACCGGCUAACUCUGUGCCAGCCGCCGCAGUAACAC
rnacentral:rRNA from 1 species